AGAAACAAUGUAAUCCUACCUCAGGUAAAGAAGAGAGAAAAAGGAGGCCAGGGGAUUACUUUUAUAUUCCCCUUAACAUGUUGCUUAUAUUAAGAAUACAACUGUCUUCCCAGGCUGUUAGUGGCAUCGAAUCUCUCUUGGCUACCAUAGAAGCUAUGGCAGCUAGCCCCAAACCUGAUGGUAAGCUGUCUGAGUUCCUUGCAGCCAUGAAGAAGCAGCGCCAACAGAGAGGAGGAGAACCUGGGGCUGGGACGUUCAAGUAUCAGGAAGUCACGCUUUCUAAAGGUGAAGCUGCAGAGCGUGCAGAAGGUCAACCAAUCAGCCAGUGUGCUCCCAGACUGCAAAGAGCCGUUGUGCUGACCUGUGAGUCCAAAGUGAAACACCUGAAGAAUAGAUUUAGCAGCCUACUUGGGGGGUUGUUGUAUUUUAGCAUUAUAUCAUAGGCACAAUGACAUGUUUAGAGCACUGUUGAGAGGCCUAGCCUUUUUCUGUCUGUCUUUUUCUGAUAGAAGAGAACACAAAGGAUGCACCAACAGCCAAGGCAGUGAAGUGUUUCAAUGUCUUCAGCCAUGACUCUUGGCCAGAUAAUAGGCUGGAGCUCCUGAACCAUGGUGUGGAAGAGGUGAACUCUCUCCUACAACACUUCUCCACUGUCCUGGACAGGAAUGGCUGCAGCAAAGAAAAGGCCAAAGAGGAGUUCCAACUGAUGAAAAUGACGAUAAACACGUCAUUCAAGGACAAAAGCUAUCUUGGACUGUGGCAAGUCAUGACGACAAAAGAGCCCUACUGCUCAGACUUUGCGAAUAUCCUACGCCUGGUCCAAAUCAUGCUGGUGCUCCCAAUCUCUUCAGCAGUCUGUGAAAGAGGCUUCUCGUCAGUAAACAGAAUCAAGUCAGAUGCUAGAUCAGUUCAGUUUGAAUUAAUGAGCUUUAAGUUUAUAAGUUAUUUAUUAUGUCGUUUUUAAGUUACCAGUAAGUUCGAUGUUCAGAAUGUUAUGUUCAAUAUACGUUUAAUACAAUGUAACAGUAUUUUUGUA